rnacentral:misc_RNA from 1 species
AAGUCGUAACAAGGUUUCCGUAGGUGAACCUGCGGAAGGAUCAUUAUUGAAUGAAUGUAGAGUCGGUUGUAGCUGGUCUUCCAAAGACAUGUGCACACCUUCUCUUUCAUCCACACACCCCUGUGCACUUGUUAGACGGAUGAUUGUUUCCCUUUUAUUAGGGGACGGUUUCCGUCUGCUAACACAUAAAACCAUAUUAAUUAAAUCUGAAUGUAAUUGAUGUAACGCAUCUAAUACAAAGUUUCAACAACGGAUCUCUUGGCUCUC